rnacentral:rRNA from 1 species
CCUACGGGAGGCAGCCGUGAGGAAUAUUGGUCAAUGGACGAGAGUCUGAACCAGCCAAGUAGCGUGAAGGAUGACUGCCCUAUGGGUUGUAAACUUCUUUUAUCUGGGAAUAAAACGUUCCACGUGUGGGAUUUUGUAUGUACCAUAUGAAUAAGGAUCGGCUAACUCCGUGCCAGCAGCCGCGGUAAUACGGAGGAUCCGAGCGUUAUCCGGAUUUAUUGGGUUUAAAGGGAGCGUAGGUGGAUUGUUAAGUCAGUUGUGAAAGUUUGCGGCUCAACCGUAAAAUUGCAGUUGAAACUGGCAGUCUUGAGUACAGUAGAGGUGGGCGGAAUUCGUGGUGUAGCGGUGAAAUGCUUAGAUAUCACGAAGAACUCCGAUUGCGAAGGCAGUUCACUGAACUGCAACUGACACUGAGGCUCGAAAGUGUGGGUAUCAAACAGGUUUAGAUACCCUUGUAGUC